rnacentral:tRNA from 1 species
GAGGGUAUAUCUUAGUGGUAAAGUACAUGCUUAGUAUGCACAAGGUCCUGGGCUCAAUCCCCAGUACCUCCA